UACAGAGGUCUCAAGCGUUGUUCGGAUUCAUUGGGCGUAAAGGGUGCGUAGGUGGCGGGGCAAGUCUGGUGUGAAAUCCCGGGGCUCAACCCUGGAACUGCACUGGAUACUGCUUUGCUAGAGUACUGGAGAGGGAACUGGAAUUUACGGUGUAGCAGUGAAAUGCGUAGAUAUCGUAAGGAAGACCAGUGGCGAAGGCGAGUUCCUGGACAGUUACUGACGCUGAGGCACGAAAGCCAGGGGAGCAAACGGG
rnacentral:rRNA from 1 species